CGGUUGAUUAUUAUGUAUUGAAAUCCUAAUCAAAUAGGCGGUACUGAGAUUCGCUUAGAGGCUACCGUAAAGAACCUAUUCUCCUCUCGUGGCGUCAGUAUCUCUGUUGGCGAUUAAGGAAAACCAAUCCAAUCCAUCGAGAUUCAUAUCAAUUUCAGUUACUCUCCCCAUUCAGUUCCUCAAAAUUCACCUCCCUCCUAAAUUCAACUAUUGCGUAAACCCUAGCUUCUCAUACAAUGAACCCCUACGACAAUCGUUACUCCGAUUCCACUUCCUUCCGCGGCCGCCGCAGUGAUCUCGUUGGACCUAUGCCGCCACCUAAUUUCGGCCGCGGCGGUCCCGCUCCUUACGGUGCUCCUUAUGCAUCCCAUGCUCCCACCGGUUUCGGAUCCGCACCUGUAACCCCGAUUCCUCACUUUUUACCUCCUUCCGGUGGAUUUAGUGUAGGUCGUGGCGGUGGUUUUGGCCCUAGAUUGGGCAACGGUCACGCAUCUGAUAGAAAAUAUGACUCUGGUCGUUAUGGUAGUAGUGGUGGUGGUGGAAGAGGUCGUGGUGGUUUUGGUGGUGGUGGUGGUAGAGGUGGAAGUCAAGGUUUUAGAGGCUCUGGUGGUGGUAGAGGAGGGAGAGGUGGCGGGUUUGGAGGUAGACAUGGAUCUUCUAAGGAUGACUUGAAUAAUAUUACUCUUCCGAAGCAAGAUUUUAGGAAUUUGGUUCCUUUUCAGAAGAAUUUCUAUGUUGAAAGCCCUGUGAUAACAGCCAUGUCUGAUCAGCAAGUUAUGCAUUAUCGUGCGAGUAGGGAUAUUACUGUUGAAGGGCAUGAUGUGCCAAAACCAAUUCGGUCUUUUCACGAGGCUAAUUUUCCUGAUCAUUGCCUUGAAGUUAUUGCCAAGUUGGGUUUUGUUGAACCUACUCCAAUUCAGGCUCAGGGUUGGCCCAUGGCUCUUACCGGUAGAGAUUUAAUUGGCAUUGCUGAGACUGGCUCCGGUAAAACUCUGUCGUAUUUACUUCCGGCUAUAGUUCAUGUCAGUGCACAACCUCGACUAGUACAAGGGGAGGGUCCUGUUGUCCUGGUUUUAGCACCAACUAGAGAGUUAGCUGUUCAAAUUCAACAAGAAGCUAUGAAAUUUGGGUCACGGUCAAAUCUUAGAUGUACAUGCAUAUAUGGGGGUGCUCCAAAGGGCCCUCAAAUUCGUGAUCUUAGAAUGGGUGUUGAGAUUGUUAUUGCUACACCUGGUCGUCUAAUAGAUAUGCUAGAAGCUCGGCACACAAACCUCCAGAGAGUGACAUAUCUUGUCUUGGAUGAAGCUGAUAGGAUGUUGGAUAUGGGUUUUGAACCUCAGAUUCGGAAGAUUGUAAACCAGAUUCGACCAGAUAGGCAGACAUUAUACUGGAGUGCAACGUGGCCAAAGGAGGUUGAAGCUCUGGCAAGACAGUUUCUGCACAACCCAUAUAAGGUAGUUAUUGGGUCACCAUAUCUAAAAGCAAACCAAUCUAUAAAUCAAGUUGUUGAAGUUGUCACUGACAUGGAGAAAUAUAACAGAUUGAUCAAGCUGCUGAAAGAUGUGAUGGACGGGAGCCGAAUUCUAAUAUUUACGGAAACAAAAAAGGGAUGUGACCAAGUUACAAAACAGUUGAGAAUGGAUGGAUGGCCAGCAUUAUCUAUCCAUGGUGAUAAAAACCAGUCUGAAAGGGACUGGGUUUUGGCUGAAUUUAAGAGUGGCAGAAGUCCAAUAAUGACUGCCACCGAUGUUGCUGCACGGGGUCUUGGUAGGAUCACUGUGUGUUUAGAAUCUUAGGAUUUUUGAUAUAGGUCUAGAAAUUAACCAAAGACGAGUUGGCCGGCUGCUUUCCAGUUCCCCUUGACAACAAUUUGUGGUUUGGGUGUGUGUGGGUGGGGGUCAUAUUUUGAGUUUGUUGGAAGUGCCUGUAACUUGACCAGAGGAUUAAUGAGAUGAAAUUGUUUCGCUGCUGUAAGUGGACUGUAGACUGCUUGAUGGAGUUAAUUUGGGAACUAUCCUUUUAAAGAUGUCAAGUUAUAUGGAUGCCUAGGCCUUAUGGCAGAGAUCCUUUGAUAUGGCUGGGAAAUUGAUCUAUAAUUUCAGAUGUAGUAUCCCAUGUAUGAUCCUGUAUUUCACGGGGCAGGUUAAUGUGGCGAUUUACUUGAUUGACAAAACAAGGUGAGUUUAUCAAUAAUUUGCCAGUGUUGCCUGAAGUCAUGUCAUACUAGUCAUACCACUGUUGGCAGUUUCCUUAAAAAUAGUCAAAUUGAUUGAUCCCCAUCCACAGUUAUGGAGCUGGUUGUCUUUGCAGCCCGGUUGACUCAUACACAUGCUUUGUCGAUAAUUGAAUGUGUUAGAUGACAGUGACGAUGAGGCUGCUCCUUAUCCCUGAAAGGUUCAGAUGUGAAGGACAUAAAAUGUGUCGUCAAUUAUGACUUUCCAUCAAGCCUCGAAGAUUAUGUCCACAGAAUUGGUCGAACUGGUCGUGCAGGAGCUAAAGGAACUGCAUACAGUUUUUUUACCCGUGCCAAUGCCAAG